rnacentral:rRNA from 1 species
GACGAACGCUGGCGGCGUGCCUAAUACAUGCAAGUCGAGCGGACAGAAGGGAGCUUGCUCCCGGAAGUUAGCGGCGGACGGGUGAGUAACACGUGGGCAACCUACCCUGUAGAUCGGGAUAACAUCGAGAAAUCGGUGCUAAUACCGGAUAAUCAUUUGAAGUGCAUGCUUCGAGUGUAAAAGAUGGCUCCGGCUAUCACUACGGGAUGGGCCCGCGGCGCAUUAGCUAGUUGGUAAGGUAAUGGCUUACCAAGGCAACGAUGCGUAGCCGACCUGAGAGGGUGAUCGGCCACACUGGGACUGAGACACGGCCCAGACUCCUACAGGAGGCAGCAGUAGGGAAUCUUCCGCAAUGGACGAAAGUCUGACGGAGCAACGCCGCGUGAGUGAUGAAGGUUUUCGGAUCGUAAAGCUCUGUUGUUAGGGAAGAACAAGUGCCGUUUGAAUAAGGCGGCACCUUGACGGUACCUAACCAGAAAGCCACGGCUAACUACGUGCCAGCCGCCGCCGUAAGAC